rnacentral:rRNA from 1 species
AAUGAACGCUGGCGGCAGGCCUAACACAUGCAAGUCGAACGGGAUCUUCGGAUCGAGUGGCGGACGGGUGAGUAACGCGUGGGAACGUACCCUUUGCUUCGGAAUAGCCUCGGGAAACUGGGAGUAAUACCGAAUGUGCCCUUCGGGGGAAAGAUUUAUCGGCAAAGGAUCGGCCCGCGUUGGAUUAGCUAGUUGGUGGGGUAAUGGCCCACCAAGGCGACGAUCCAUAGCUGGUUUGAGAGGAUGACCAGCCACACUGGGACUGAGACACGGCCCAGACUCCUACGGGAGGCAGCAGUGGGGAAUCUUAGACAAUGGGGGCAACCCUGAUCUAGCCAUGCCGCGUGAGUGAUGAAGGCCUUAGGGUUGUAAAGCUCUUUCGCUGGGGAAGAUAAUGACUGUACCCAGUAAAGAAGCCCCGGCUAACUCCGUGCCAGCCGCCGCGGUAA